rnacentral:rRNA from 1 species
GACGAACGCUGGCGGCGCGCCUAACACAUGCAAGUCGAACGAGCGAGAGGAGGUUUACUUUCUCAAGCGAGUGGCGAACGGGUGAGUAACGCGUGAGGAACCUGCCUCAAAGAGGGGGACAACAGUUGGAAACGACUGCUAAUACCGCAUAAGCCCACGACCCGGCAUCGGGUAGAGGGAAAAGGAGCAAUCCGCUUUGAGAUGGCCUCGCGUCCGAUUAGCUAGUUGGUGAGGUAAUGGCCCACCAAGGCGACGAUCGGUAGCCGGACUGAGAGGUUGAACGGCCACAUUGGGACUGAGACACGGCCCAGACUCCUACGGGAGGCAGCAGUGGGGAAUAUUGCACAAUGGGGGAAAGCCUGAUGCAGCGACGCGGCGUGGAGGAAGAAGGUCUUCGGAUUGUAAACUCCUGUUGUUGAGGAAGAUAAUGACGGUACUCAACAAGGAAGUGACGGCUAACUACGUG